AGUGUAAAACCAAUAACUCUAUAAGUGAAAAUACAUGUGCAAGGAGAGUAUUUAAUAUUCCUUUCGUCUAACAAAGGUUGGUUAAAACAAUUAUUUUCCCCUUAACAAUUGUUGGAAUGCUGGAGCUCAAGCUUGAUGUAAGUUCAGUGCCACAAGACAUUUAGAAAAAAAAGGCAAAGCUAAGAUUAAAUACCAAACCUUAAGCCAUCCAAGUCAACACUCGCAGAUUCUUUAACAGCCACCACACACAGAAACACUCCAUACGCAACAUAAUAUAAGAUUGCUGCCAUUGGAGACGCACAGUAUUAGCUACUUGGGCUAAAAUCUGAAUCCAUUGGCACCCAACUUAUUUAUAAACUGAGAAGCAUCUUGCAAUACUUUGGACACAUUUAAAAACCAUUCAACAUUUUUCAACUAAGUAAACAAAAGGUAUAGUAGACCAGAAUAGAGAAGAGUGGAAGUACUAACUGCAGAUCAGAACUAAACAACUGCUAAAAAUUUGAACUAGCAGGUGCAAACAGAUGAGCCCAAGCCAACACAUCCUAUGACAGUGGGAGAAAUAAUAAUAAUAAUAACCGAUAGAUUUCAGCUAGAAUGAAAAAUUGCAAUAACCUCAACAAAAUAAAAAAUAAGCCAUUUCAGUCAGAGGCUUAUAGCAACUAUAGUAGUUGGCAGUUCUACUCGAACUAAGCCACCAAAUGAUAUAAAAUGAAACCUUCACAAAUAUGCUGGGCAAACUCAAUGGUUGGUCAGCGGUCACAUUCAAAAGCUAUAAUGACAGAAAUGAAGACAUCCUAAAAUUGCUUCAGUCCAGAUCAUGAAGUAUCCAAGAAAAGUUACACAUAACAGAAAAAUAUAAGUCGUCUAUUAAUUAAGUAAUCAAACUCUUCGUUCGACUGGUCUCACAGACACAGUCCUUCUGACGGUUCCAUGUCUGUACAACUUUGUAGGAGCUAAUUGGUGAUAAUUUUGCUUCUAAUAACGUCCUUCACCAUUAUGUAAACACUUCAUAACCUGAAACAAAUAUGAACAAACAUUGCCACUUCCAACAUAAAUGUUUGAUCAAACUCAUCCCAUGGUUAAAAGCAUGCCUGCUCUAUCACUGUUUCCUUUUUUCCCUUUCCUCUUUUUGAUAUAACGAACACUUUACGGAAAUAUUCAUAAGCAAGGUUAAGAAAGAUGGAGGGAAGGGCAUAGAAAAUUAGUAAUGGAGUAUUGUAGUUCAAAUAUUGAAACAUCCGAACAAAAAAGUGACACCUCAACAUAAAUACAACAUAUAUAUAUUGCUGUUCCAACAUUACAAAGCCUCAGUAUUGACUAAAUGUAAGAUUCUAUUCUGUAUACAAUAUCUCUAUCAAGAUUUCUCAAAAAGUAGAUGUCCCAGCAAAAAGCCUUUUCUAACUAGUGCAUUCACCCCUUUAUACUUACCUUGUAGCACCCCUUUAUACUUACCUUGUAG
rnacentral:misc_RNA from 1 species